rnacentral:rRNA from 1 species
GACGAACGCUGGCGGCGUGCUUAACACAUGCAAGUCGAGCGGAGCGGCGAACGGGUGAGUAACGCGUAAGUAACUGCCCCCCUCUCUGGGAUACCAGUUGGAAACGGCUGCUAAUACCGGAUAGUGGGGGAUGACACGCGUCCUAUCUGUUUGUUGGUGGGGUAGUGGCAUACCAAGACGACGACGGGUAGGCGGCCUGGCAGGGCGACCGGCCACAUACGGCUGAGCGACGGCCCGAACUCCUACGGGGGGCAGCUGUAGGGAAGAUUUCACAAUGAUGGAAACCCGGCUGCAGGAAUCCGCGUGCGGCAGGAUGUCCUUCGGGUUGUAGACCGCUUUCAGCCAUGACGCGGUAGUGGCAGAAGAAGCACCGGCUAACUACGUGCCAGCAGCCGCGGUAAUUC